GUUAGAGAAGAACAAGGAUGAGAGUAACUGUUCAUCCCUUGACGGUAUCUAACCAGAAAGCCACGGCUAACUACGUGCCAGCAGCCGCGGUAAUACGUAGGUGGCAAGCGUUGUCCGGAUUUAUUGGGCGUAAAGCGAGCGCAGGCGGUUUCUUAAGUCUGAUGUGAAAGCCCCCGGCUCAACCGGGGAGGGUCAUUGGAAACUGGGAGACUUGAGUGCAGAAGAGGAGAGUGGAAUUCCAUGUGUAGCGGUGAAAUGCGUAGAUAUAUGGAGGAACACCAGUGGCGAAGGCGGCUCUCUGGUCUGUAACUGACGCUGAGGCUCGAAAGCGUGGGGAGCAAACAGGAUUAGAUACCCUGGUAGUCCACGCCGUAAACGAUGAGUGCUAAGUGUUGGAGGGUUUCCGCCCUUCAGUGCUGCAGCUAACGCAUUAAGCACUCCGCCUGGGGAGUACGACCGCAAGGUUGAAACUCAAAGGAAUUGACGGGGGCCCGCACAAGCGGUGGAGCAUGU
rnacentral:rRNA from 1 species